GUUUUUUUGCCUCUGGAACUUCAUUUUACUGCAUUAUCUCUUUUGGGGAGGGUUGUUGGUUUGCUUUUUUGGAUAUAUUUAUAGUUCUUAUUUCAAGAUUUCUUGUUUUUUACAGUUAUUUUAGGGUCAAGGAUGUCACCCUCUAGUGUUUUCUUCCUCCUAAUAUUAGUUUCCAUGGUGGACACCAAAACCUCAUCUGAAAAAGGUGGAUUUUGGGGGCUUUGCCCUAAAAAACCAUUAUUUCCACCUAAAUCAAAUUUUAUCCCACCCACAUCAUACCAUUUUCCUACUAUUCUCUCAAAACCUAUUUGUUCCCCAUGUAAUUCCACAGGGGUCAUUCCCAUUAACCCCAGUUUCACCAUGAAAACCCAAGAGAUGACACAUCCAUUUUCAGAUAACCAAGACCAUGGGAACCCCAAAUUUGGAUUCCCUGCUCUAUUCCUAUGGGACACGCCAGGGGGAUGAAACCAACCCCAAACAUGACGAUCGGACAUCCGAGAUCACCCCCUCUGUUCCCUUCACCUUCUAAGGGAAAACAUACCAAACUGUGUUUGUAGGUCACCCCAAAUUCCAUAGUUUUCAGAAAUUCCUCCAUUUUUCCAAAUUUUUGCUCCAUUUCUACUUAAUUUUUCACUCAUGUAUGUGGGUGUCUGUGUGUAUGUGUGUGUAUCCCCCCAGAAUCAACCCUUCUUAAAUUCAUAGUGGGUUUUAUCCUUGGGCAUUGAAACAUCUUCAGAUGGGUGGGGAACUUGAGGGGCUGGUGGUAUUGGGAGGGUUGAAG
rnacentral:lncRNA from 1 species